GUCGAGCGAACGGACGAGAAGCUUGCUUCUCUGAUGUUGGCGGCGGACGGGUGAGUAACACGUGGAUAACCUACCUAUAAGACUGGGAUAACUUCGGGAAACCGGAGCUAAUACCGGAUAAUAUUUUGAACCGCAUGGUUCAAAAGUGAAAGACGGUCUUGCUGUCACUUAUAGAUGGAUCCGCGCUGCAUUAGCUAGUUGGUAAGGUAACGGCUUACCAAGGCAACGAUGCAUAGCCGACCUGAGAGGGUGAUCGGCCACACUGGAACUGAGACACGGUCCAGACUCCUACGGGAGGCAGCAGUAGGGAAUCUUCCGCAAUGGGCGAAAGCCUGACGGAGCAACGCCGCGUGAGUGAUGAAGGUCUUCGGAUCGUAAAACUCUGUUAUUAGGGAAGAACAUAUGUGUAAGUAACUGUGCACAUCUUGACGGUACCUAAUCAGAAAGCCACGGCUAACUACGUGCCAGCAGCCGCGGUAAUACGUAGGUGGCAAGCGUUAUCCGGAAUUAUUGGGCGUAAAGCGCGCGUAGGCGGUUUUUUAAGUCUGAUGUGAAAGCCCACGGCUCAACCGUGGAGGGUCAUUGGAAACUGGAAAACUUGAGUGCAGAAGAGGAAAGUGGAAUUCCAUGUGUAGCGGUGAAAUGCGCAGAGAUAUGGAGGAACACCAGUGGCGAAGGCGACUUUCUGGUCUGUAACUGACGCUGAUGUGCGAAAGCGUGG
rnacentral:rRNA from 1 species